rnacentral:rRNA from 1 species
UACAGAGGGUGCGAGCGUUGUCCGGAAUCACUGGGCGUAAAGGGCGCGUAGGCGGCUUUUCACGCGUGCGGUGAAAGCUCGGGGCUUAACUCCGAGUCUGCCGUGCGAACGGGGAGGCUUGAGUCUGGUAGAGGUCGAUGGAAUUCCGGGUGUAGCGGUGGAAUGCGUAGAGAUCCGGAAGAACACCGGUGGCGAAGGCGGUCGACUGGGCCAGUACUGACGCUGAGGUGCGAAAGCUAGGGGAGCAAACGGG